CGCAUCUGUGCAUGCAGCAUAUCAAUAAGCGGAGGAAAAGAAACUAACAAGGAUUCCCCUAGUAACGGCGAGUGAAGCGGGAAGAGCUCAAAUUUGAAAUCUUAAAGGGUUUCCCUUUACGAAUUGUAGUUUAAAGAAGUGUUUUCUGUUGAGGUUUUGGUAAAAGUUCUUUGGAAUAGGGACAUCAUAGAGGGUGAGAAUCCCGUAUUUGACCUUUACUUUCAACUUUGUGAUACACUUUCAAAGAGUCGGAUUGUUUGGGAAUGCAGUCCAAAAUGGGUGGUAAAUUUCAUCUAAAGCUAAAUAUUGGCGAGAGACCGAUAGCGAACAAGUACCGUGAGGGAAAGAUGAAAAGAACUUUGAAAAGAGAGUUAAACAGUACGUGAAAUUGUCAAAAGGGAAGCGUUUGACACCAGUGUUGUUUUUCUGAAAAUCAAUUAAAGAACUGUUUAUGCUAAGUUGUUUAGACUUUAUCAGCUAACUGUUUAGUUUUGAGCUUUUCUUUAAUGCACUUUUCAGUUAACAAGUCAACAUCAAUUUCUUUUGCUGUAAAAAAGCUUGAGGAAGGUGGCUUGAGAUUCGUCUUAAGUGUUUAUAGCCUCUUGCCUAUGCAGUCGGAGAGAUUGAGGUCUGCAGCGUAGAUCCUUCGGGGCUAAAUGCAUUUGUGCUAAGUUAUAGCAUUUUAUAGACAACUUGUUGACUAUGAUUUGUCUUGUAGCUUACUCGCUUAUGUUAUUUUACCUACGCUUAGGAUGUUGACUGAUAUGUAGUCGUA
rnacentral:rRNA from 1 species